AAAAAGAAAGAAAGAGAAAGAGACACUCUUUAAGGUACUUCCCAGGCCCCACCUGAGCCUAGGCUGGGAACUAUAUGCUCUGGGAAAUAAGAUAAUAAGAAACAUAUGUCAAAAACACAGGGAUCCCUGGGUGGCACAGCGGUUUGGCGCUCCCGGUGCGUGGAGCCUGCUUCUCCCUCUGCCUGUCUCUCUCUCUCUUUCUGUGUGACUAUCAUAAAUAAAUUUAAAAAAUUUAAAAAAAUAUUUAAAAAAACACAGAGGCUAUCAAUGAAGAAGCAAUGUGUUCAUAUUUAUCAACGUAUUUUUUAAGAUUUAUUUUUGAGAGACAGAAUGCAGGAGGAGGGGCAGAGGGAGAGAGAGAGGGACAAGCAGACUCCUUGCCGAGCGUGGAGCCAGAGGUGGGGCUCCAUUCACAAUCCUCCGUUCACGACCUGAGCCGAAAUCAAGAGUUGGUUGUUUAACCAACGGUGCCACCCAGGCACCCCUGUUAAUGUAUUUUAAUACAGACCUCACAGCUAUUAUCUUGCAGCCACUGAAGUAAUACCUGCCAUUAAGUUGACUGCGAUGGAUGAUAUAUAUUGAUCUGUGUGUCCCUUUCUCUAUACUCACUCAGUUUUCCUGUUUUGUUUUGUUUUUUUAAGAUUUUAUUUAUUUAUUCAUGAGAGACACAGAGAGAGAGGCAGAGACACAGGCAGAGGGAGAAACAGGCUCCAUGCAGGGAGCCCGACGUGGGACUCCAUCCCGGGUCUCCAGGAUCACGCCCGGGCUGAAGGCAGGUGCUAAACCGCUAAGCUACCAGGGCUCCCUCAGUUUUCCUGUUGUAUUGGUCAGGAUUUGGAUGGAAAGAAGACCAGAUCUCCUGAGAGCUGGGACGUGCUCUUUCCUCCUUAUAUCCCAAAGCCUAAAGUGAUUAUCUGUGGGAUGGAAAUGAAUUGGAGGACUUUCCAGCAAUAGGGCACUCAAGUGCUAUUAGAUGCGCAAGUGCUCCCGUGAGCUAACUGUGGGCCCAGGACUCCCGCCCUCAUGCUUUCCUCACAUGAGCUCAUGUAAUCGUCACGAGCGGAUAAGGCAGGAACCAGUUCUAGCUCCACUUCCCAAAGGAGGAACAAGGAGAUGAGAGGGAUUGCAGGGGACCUAAGGAAAGACCACCCCACAGGCAGUCGGGCACAUGUGGCAUCACAUGUUUUCAGUGUGAACCUCUGUGGCUUAUAAGGAUCCAAGAAGAAGAGAAAGAAUGAAAGGAAAAUAACAAGAUAAUGAGCAGCGAUGUUCUUAGGCAAUGAAGCAAGCAAAUCACCACCCCGGCUGAUUGGAGUGAUAAUGAGUAACUUUAAGGAUCCCAGAGCCAGGAAGAAUACAUCUCCAAGAGAGCAAGGAUCUCAGUCUGCACCAUUCACUGAUGUACACAGCAAAGAUCCAACCCGGGUGUCUAUGGCACAGCUGGUGUUCAACGACUAGCUGCUGAAUAAAUGAAUGAAUUUCUGCAUCUCAUAAUCCCUCUCUGCCAAAUUACGGUCUGAAUUGAUAAAAUGAAUAUAACCUCUCUUUAUUGAAAGCUUACUACAUGCCACGCCCUGCCCUGGGCACUUUGUACCUCUUUUAAUGUCUCAAGGGCCUCCUGUGGACCAAUGUUUUUGUCCUACUUUGCAAAUCAGAGGAAACCGAGACUUGGGGAGACACAAGGGACAAGCCAGCAUUCUUUUUCCCUGUCAGGAGGUGGAAGUAUAAAGAAAUGGCACUUAAGAUUUCCACAGCAAUUUGCCUCAUCUUGUUUGGGCCCUGCUUUGUGGGGGAUGGGACUCAGGAUGAGGAGAAAGGAAUUGGAGUCGUCUCUCUUCAAGCUCCUUCUGCCCUGAGGGGAGAAAAGGAAAGGAAGAAGGUCUAAGGGUGACCAAGAGCAAGGGACUAGGUGUUCUUGAAGAAGGCGACUUGCUCAUGGAGGAUUCGUCCCGGUUCCUGGUGGGCGACUCUGAGAUGUCUAGUGACUCAAUCCCCUGGGUCUAGGGGAGGAAGAUGCUUGUGCUUCUGGAAAUUGGCGAUUUUUUUCUUCCAAAUCAGGAGGGAGCAAUUUGAGGAAGGUCUUGGAGGCAUGUCAAGUUGGAGAAACGCAAGCCCUGUAGUUCAGUGAGGCACGGAUGGAAGGUACACCUGAGGAACGGAAGGCCUAGAAAUCAUACAACUCCAAGUAGGACUAACUCAAAGUGGUGGGUCAGAAAAAAAUGCUUCCAAGGAGUGUGAAAGCAUGCUGGUGGCCAUGUUCAGAACGGCCAAGAAAGAAAAGAUCAGACGGUCUCAAGAGGUCCAGGAUCCGGCCGCAGGUCACGUGUUGGGUUUAGUUACGACAUCUUUUCCGCUUCCUUCAUGAUCCAGAAAAACAAGACUCGUAAAGCUGCAACUCUGGUACUAAGGCCUUCCUUUUACCGGGCAGCGGUCAGCAAACUUUUCCCAUAGGGCCAGAGAGUAAAUACUUUAAGCAUUGAGUUUCUUUUCCAGCCACUCCAUUCUGCCAUAAUAUCACGAAAGCAGCCACACACAACAGUGGGAAGAUGGCCUUUUAUGAACCAGGAAGUAGGCCCUCAACAAGGAACCGAAUGCUCUGGCACCUUCAUCUUAAGAGUUUCCAGCCCUAGAACUCUCUUCCACAGCGCAGGGACUGGCACCGUACAUACGCCUGGGUUGGCGACUUUACAGGGAAGCUGGAGCGAAAGAGCCAAGGCUGCUCCAUGGCCAAGACAUUCAGCGGAGACACUCACCAUGUACCAAGGACAGUGCGAUGACAGGUUUCCUCCACACAAGAUAUAAAUAGCAUCAGCAUUUUCCUCAGAAAGCAAGCUGCUUUCAAAUCUGGCAAAAGCAGGGAAUGAAAAGAGGAUGAACAUAAUGAGUCAAAUAAAUACAUUUAAUACUCCCGUCAUUUUCACAGAAGUUUACAGGCUGUUCUAAAAUACAGAAAAAUUGUUCAGGGGACUCCUAACUGUGCAUUCACUUAUUUAUGAUUGACAGUCUGGAACAAGAUGUGCAGAAACAUGAGAGACUCAUGGAGAAGUUUCCGAUGAGUAUGCCACUCUGUCAGCCACUAUAAUUAAUCUGACUUACAGAGGUAAGG